UAAGGAAUGAGAUAAGUUACUGCUUUUCUAGACUUCCUAGCAUGGGCUGUUGUGCUGGAGAGAACGAGAGCUACGAAGAGACUACAGUGCCUCUGACUUUUUCAUAGGACAGUUGGCCGAGGAAGACAAACAUAAAGAUGAAGUGCUUAAUUCAAGGUCACACAAUGUCGGGGAUGGACCUCCAGAUUUCCUUACUGACCUGCAUUAUCUUGUGGAUACCUGAGUGAAUUCCACACCACCCAUUUUAUAGAUGAAACCACUGAGACAUGGAGCAAUUGACUGAGUAGUCACUGCCCCACCCCUGCCUGGAGCCUCACACAUGACUCGCCUCCUCUCAGUGACCACAGGUUGGUUGAGGGGUUUAACAAGGCUAAGAAGGUGAGACGUGGUCUUGUAACACAGUGGUUAAGAAUGUGACUUUGGAGCCAGCCUGCUAGGGGCUGAAUUCUGACUCAGCCAUUUACUAACUGUGUGACCUUAGGUGGAGUCUCACUCUGUAGCCCAAGCUGGAGUGGCGUGAUCUCGACUCACUGCAACCUCCGCCUCCUGGGAUCAAGUGAUUCUCGUGCCUCAGCCUCCUGAGUAGCCGGGACUACAGGUCACAGAAUUUUCCACACUCCUUGACAGAGGUGCUUAACCCUUAUCCAUCAGCAUUCUCAGACAGCACCUCCGGUUA
rnacentral:lncRNA from 10 species